CCAGCUUACACCAUCACGGUGCAAAUGCAAAGGUUUGGUUGUGGUACUCACCAUCUAGCCCAGGGGUGGUCAACUCCAUGCCUUGAGAACCGGUGUCCUAAAGGUUUUAGAUGUGUCCUUGAUCCAUCAAAGCUGAUUUAAAUGUUCACAUUUAAAAUGUUCACAUUUCUCCAACGUGGUCUUCCUAACAGUUUCACCGGAUGGCAAGAAAUCCUGGCCAUCCAGUGUAGAUGUCAGUGAAACUGUUGGGAAGACAACGUGAACAUUUUAUUUGUACUGUAUAAUCUGCAGAUUCUGACAGAAAUCUGCAGCUAUCCUUUGAAGCACCGCUCCUCUAAAAGAGCAAUAAGGAUCAUUAUUAGGUUAUUUACAUUAUUAUGUAAAUAACAAAAUAAUUUAAAGCAAAAAUUGGGAAACGUAAAGUCCGAAGUCUUUAUAUUAAGGGCCAUCAGUCAAACAAUAUUGUUUGCUCUGGGUCUAAACAGAGCGCGUUGUGUGUGACGUCUUCUUUUGCGCAUGCGGGCCGCUUUGAGCGUUCACACUAGAGCGCGUUUGCUGUCACAUUUUAUUUGUAGUGUGAACAAGCAGACAAAAAAAUCGGAUUUGAUCAAAAAAUCGGAAUUGAGCAUUAAGACCUGCAGUGUGAACGUAGCCUUUAUGACCUCCUCAACAUUUCUUGAAGUUCUCCAGAUGCCCGGUAAUGAACUAAUCAUUUGAUUCAGGUGUGUUGACCCAGGGUGAGAUCUAAAACCUGCAAGACACCGACCUUCGAGGCCUGGAGUUGGCCACCCGUGAUUUAGCCAGUGAUGGAGAAGGGGAGCAAACUCAACCGGGGGUACAUGGGUCAGAGAUGUGGCAGAGCAGGAGCUGAACACAAGACUCACACCGUAAAGAUGAUCACAAAGCUUGCAGGGAGGAGAAGAUCUGCAAUGAUUUGGAGAGCCCCUCUAGCAAGAUAUUGCAGCAGGUGGAGAACUGGCUCAUAUGCCGUUAGGCCAAACUCACUGAGGGUGCAGAAUCCAAGAUGGUGCAGUUGGAGUCUAUUCGUGUGGCAAAAGAGUUAA
rnacentral:lncRNA from 1 species